rnacentral:rRNA from 1 species
GACGAACGCUGGCGGCGUGCCUAAUACAUGCAAGUUGAGCGCUUAAGGUUGGUACUUGUACCGACUGGCUGAGCAGCGAACGGGUGAGUAACGCGUGGGGAAUCUGCCUUUUAGCGGGGGACAACAUUUGGAAACGAAUGCUAAUACCGCAUAAAAACUUUAAACACAAGUUUUAAGUUUGAAAGAUGCAAUUGCAUCACUCAAAGAUGAUCCCGCGUUGUAUUAGCUAGUUGGUGAAGUAAAGGCUCACCAAGGCGAUGAUACAUAGCCGACCUGGGAGGGUGAAAGGCCAAAAUGGGAAGGAGACAAGGCACAAAAUCAUAAGGGAGGCAGAAGUAGGGAAUCUUAGGCAAUGGAAGAAAGUCGGAACGAGCAAAGACGAGUGAGUGAAGAAGGUUUUCGGAUCGUAAAACACUGUUGGUAGAGAAGAACGUUGGUGAGAGUGGAAAGCUCAUAAAGUGACGGUAACUACACAGAAAGGGACGGCUAACUACGUG